UCCUAGAUAGCUCAGUGGUAGAGAAUCUGCCUGCCAAAAAGAAGACCAGGGUUUGAUCCCUGUGUUGGGA
rnacentral:tRNA from 1 species